GGGCACCACCAGGGGGUGCAGCUGCGGCUUAUUUGACUCAACACGGGAAAUCUCACCAGGCCCGGACACCGGAAGGAUUCACAGAUUAACAGCUCUUUCUUGAUUCGGUGGGUGGUGGUGCAUGGCCGUUCUUAGUUGGUGGAGCGAUUUGUCUGGUUAAUUCCGGUAACGAACGAGACUCUAGCCUGCUAAAUAGGCGUCGUCAUUUAGGUGUGCUCGACUUCGGUCGUGCAACUCACUGGCGACGUAUUAAAAUUCUUCUUAGAGGGACCGGUGGCUUCGAGCCACACGAGAUUGAGCAAUAACAGGUCUGUGAUGCCCUUAGAUGUCCUGGGCCGCACGCGCGCUACACUGAAGGAAUCA
rnacentral:rRNA from 4 species